UAUAUUUUCUUCAAACAGUAAAUACUCGUGGAAUGCGUGGUAAUCUAUAGAUGCUUUAUGGGCGUGAAUUUGGUGUGGUAAUUUUUUAUUUCACAAUAAGUAUAGACUGAGAUUUAUGUAGCUUUAUGUCACAUAAAUUACGUGUCAGCCCAAACGAAUAUAGCUAAUUCUUGUACACCGUACCCUGGUUUCUGGCACAAGAGUCGCACCCACGGAGAGGAAGGAGUAUUUUCCGAUUCGAUACUGUGAGAUCCAGAUCUGACCAUGCCCUGGACAGAUAAUCCAGGGCAUGAAUGUGGAAGCGGCUCUGGCAAUUUGCGCUGGAGCAUGCAUUUCAUCUGGAAGUGUGAUUUUUUUUUUUAUUAGCCUGAAAUCGUGUUCAAGUCCAUUAAAGGUAUAAUUUUCCUUGCCCGUUUAUUUCUAAUUGUUCUUGGUUAUACAAAUGGACACGAGAAGCGGUGGUGUCUGGAGGCAGAAGUCUGGAAGAGGAAAGCUGGGUGUAAGCUAGCAUAAUUACAUCCUUUGUUAUAUGUAAGGAUAGCCUAAGUCAGCAGUUAUUCAGAGUAGGUGAAAGCCCACGCUGAUCCACUGUGCAAAGCAUUGUGGCUCACUGGGUUGUCCCUGAGAGGUUUUACAGUUUAGAAAUAAGAAAUCAUAGUAACGGGUAUUUUCUUACUUCUCUGUACUGCAGUCAUCGUUAAGGAUUUCAUUUGGCUUUGGAUCAGGCUUCGUAGAAGGUUCUGCAGAAAAGUGGACGACUAAAAGUCACCUUAAACAUCUGCAAAAAUUGGGCUAUACAGGUAUUUCCCUCCGUGAGUAAUGGGAUGAAACAGAGAGAACAUGGCUGAUCAAAGGCCUGUUUUUGGAAAUGAGCACGGGCUUCAUCCAAAAUAGUCUGAAACAUCCUGGGCGAUGACGUGGCCGGCACCGGCAUCCCGGCCGGGGAUCCA